AGCAGGGAAUCUUGCGCAAUGGGCGAAAGCCUGACGCAGCAACGCCGCGUGGGGGAAAAGGCCUUCGGGUUGUAAACCCCUUUCAGGAGGGAAGAAAAUGACGGUACCUCCAGAAGAAGCACCGGCCAACUACGUGCCAGCAGCCGCGGUAAUACGUAGGGUGCGAGCGUUAUCCGGAAUCAUUGGGCGUAAAGAGCUCGUAGGCGGUUCAACAAGUCGGCUGUGAAAGUCCGGGGCUCAACCCCGGAAUUGCAGUCGAUACUGUUGUGACUUGAGUCCGGUAGAGGAGAAUGGAAUUCCCGGUGUAGCGGUGGAAUGCGCAGAUAUCGGGAGGAACACCAGUAGCGAAGGCGGUUCUCUGGGCCGGCACUGACGCUGAGGAGCGAAAGCGUGGGGAGCAAACAGGAUUAGAUACCCUGGUAGUCCACGCCGUAAACGUUGGAUACUAGGUGUGGCGGUCUACCAACGACUGCCGUGCCGAAGCUAACGCAUUAAUCCNG
rnacentral:rRNA from 1 species